rnacentral:rRNA from 1 species
GACGAACGCUGGCGGCGUGCUUAACACAUGCAAGUCGAACGGUGAAGCCCUUCGGGGUGGAUCAGUGGCGAACGGGUGAGUAACACGUGAGCAACCUGCCCCUGGCUCUGGGACAACCACUGGAAACGGUGGCUAAUACCGGAUACGACCCGCCUCGGCAUCGAGUGUGGGUGGAAAGUUUUUCGGCUGGGGAUGGGCUCGCGGCCUAUCAGCUUGUUGGUGAGGUGAAGGCUCACCAAGGCGAUGACGGGUAGCCGGCCUGAGAGGGCGACCGGCCACACUGGGACUGAGACACGGCCCAGACUCCUACGGGAGGCAGCAGUGGGGAAUAUUGCACAAUGGGCGAAAGCCUGAUGCAGCGACGCCGCGUGAGGGAUGACGGCCUUCGGGUUGUAAACCUCUUUCAGCUCCGAAGAAGCGAAAGUGACGGUAGGAGCAGAAGAAGCACCGGCUAACUACGUG